UAUAGCCUAGGCACAACAAUAGGGAUAUAUGGAUGACUAAGAUCCAGUGUUCAAUGUACAGAAGCUGAGAGAAAAAGCAGAAAAAAAUGCUGUUAAAAUAUACACAUCUUUUGAGCAAAAUGUCCUGUAUCUAAUCCUGAAUGGUGAUUGCCAAGCACACACCUGUCACGAACUGCUGAUGUCAGUGAGGUGCCGCAGUGAGAGAUACUGAACUACAACACUGGAAAUGCUGAUUGUAACACUGAUGAACUCAAACACGGUUUGAGAAGCAACCAAACACAGUCCUAUGUGAAGAUGAAGAGCUGAACAAAUCUCUGCAGGAAUUCAGCUCAGUAAGAAAGACAUAAGUAAAAGAUAAUUGCAAUAUAAAGUAAGUAAGUGCUAUUAAUCAUUAAAAGAGAGCGCUGUGGGUCAUUCACAUUUUUUACUGUGGUUCAUUACAUUUUUUUUUGGAGAGUAGCCACCCAGAUGUAAUAUUUCUCUACUAACCAGAAUACUUGAUUAACCAAAUUGUACAAUUUCCUGACCAUACCUGAGUAACAGUUUAUUUUACAAGUUAUAAACAUAUCAUUAAAAAAAAUCUCAAUAUCUACCACAGGGGAAAACUGCAAUUGUUCUUUUCUAUAGUUAAUGGCUAAUUUAUUUUAUCUUGCUUAAGCAUUUUAUGAUCCUUUUUAAUUUCCAGGAAUUUAGAGGCCCCUUCUGAUUUUAGAAUGGAGAAAAGAGGAUUUAUUUCCAUGUGGCACUGGUUUUUCCCAUAGAUGGUGGUGAUAUUUUACUAAAAUAAAAAGAGCAGACAUCAGUAAUGAUUCCCUAGCUGUUUAACUGGAAAAUGAGAACUAAUUAAUAGGUAUGGGUCAAAACAGUAUUGGCAAAAGCAGUCACAGAAUUAAAAUGGCUCAAAUCAUAAUUUCCAAUGAACUAGUGAAUAUUUCUUUACUUGAUAGUAGCGUAAAAUGAUCUCCACAAAAUUUGCUAGGCUCACAUCUCUUUGGGU